UCGCAAUCUACGAGACAAUAAAGACACCUACAAGACAGAAAAUUAAAACCUGCCUGCAUAAUUUUUGCAAAGUGACAGGAAGAAGCACAUACACAGAUACCUGGGGCUGGGUCAGGCCGAAGCCAGGAGCCAGGAACUCUAUUCAAGUCUCCCACAUAGGUGGCAGGAACUCAAGUACUUCAGAUUGCCAACGUUUGGCCUUCCCAUCUCCGUAAGCAGGUGAGCUAAGUCCUUAUCGUCUUUAUCUAUGUGUCUGUACCUACAUCCUGUCAGUUCUGUUCCUCUGGAGAAUCCUGCCUGAUCUCUGAUGAAUACAGCAUGAUUCUAGAAGUCAGAGGUAGAGCACCUGUACCUUCCAUGUACC
rnacentral:lncRNA from 1 species